rnacentral:rRNA from 1 species
GGUUGAUCCUGCCAGUAGCAUAUGCUUGUCUCAAAGAUUAAGCCAUGCAUGUCUAAGUAUAAAAGUAUUCUAUACUUGAAACUGCGAAUAGCUCAUUAAAUCAGUUAUAGUUUAUUUGAUGGUGCGCGAGUUACUUGGAUAACUGUAGUAAUUCUAGAGCUAAUACAUGCUGCAAAGUCUGACUCUGUAAAGGGAACGACUGUAUUUAUUAGAUAAAAAACCAAUGCACCAGCAAUGGUGCUUAUUGUGGUGAUUCAUAAUAACUGAUUCGGACCGCAUAGCUUCGGCUGGCG